CUAAAAACAAAUCAUUAAGUAUUAUCUAAAGUCAAAUUGCACCAACUGUCUGACUGAGGCUGGUCCAAGUCUGGCCUUAUCAGCAUUCAGCACCACUGCCCCAGGAUGGAUGAGGAAACAGAACACCACUAAAGGGUAAGCCAGAGACAGAGGGCCCCUGUUCUUGUUUGUUCUGCAAAGCCCUUUAUGUUCUUCUGGAAGAUAGAAAAAGAUAUAUCUGACUGAGAAACAGAACUUUUCACUAUCUUUGAUCAACUGGCUAGAAGAUGUCUCUUUUUCUCUCACUUCUGCUCUUUGCAGGCACUGCAGGAACUCACAUCUCCUGGCAUUGGGAUUGGCAUGGUGUUCAAGGCUGCUCGUCUGCAGGCCAGUACUACCUUCCAGGCAUGUGAUGCAUGGAUAAAUAUGGGCUGUUUCACCAGAGAGACAGUACCCCAGACAUUGUUGAGAAGACCUUUCUGUGGAUGGAAGGCACCUGGCAGCUGGCUCUCGAGACUGCCAUCCACAGACCAGCCGGAGCACGUGCACAUACCUGCCUUCAGCCGGACCAACACCAGACGAGUCAUCUGGUGCCAAAGAAGGUUUCUUCAGGAUCAGAAUAACUAA
rnacentral:lncRNA from 1 species